GAUGAACGCUGGCGGCGUGCCUAAUACAUGCAAGUAGAACGCUGAAGGAGGAGCUUGCUCUUCUGGAUGAGUUGCGAACGGGUGAGUAACGCGUAGGUAACCUGCCUGGUAGCGGGGGAUAACUAUUGGAAACGAUAGCUAAUACCGCAUGACAACAGUUAUUGCAUGAUAACUGUUUAAAAGGGGCAACUGCUCCACUACCAGAUGACCUGCGUUGUAUUAGCUAGUUGGUGAGGUAACGGCUCACCAAGGCGACGAUACAUAGCCGACCUGAGAGGGUGAUCGGCCACACUGGGACUGAGACACGGCCCAGACUCCUACGGGAGGCAGCAGUAGGGAAUCUUCGGCAAUGGACGGAAGUCUGACCGAGCAACGCCGCGUGAGUGAAGAAGGUUUUCGGAUCGUAAAGCUCUGUUGUAAGAGAAGAACGAGUGUGAGAGUGGAAAGUUCACACUGUGACGGUAUCUUACCAGAAAGGGACGGCUAACUACGUG
rnacentral:rRNA from 1 species